AUCCUAGGAUGAGGACAAGCGCGAAUGUACUCAUUAAGACGUUCGCAUGCUUCAGGAAUCAUCUCCUCGGACUAUUGUUGGAAGCUCAAAAUCUUCCCAGGUAGGGC
rnacentral:snoRNA from 1 species